rnacentral:rRNA from 1 species
GCCACACUGGGACUGAGACACGGCCCAGACUCCUACGGGAGGCAGCAGUGGGGAAUUUUGGACAAUGGGCGCAAGCCUGAUCCAGCCAUGCCGCGUGUCUGAAGAAGGCCUUCGGGUUGUAAAGGACUUUUGUCAGGGAAGAAAAGGCUGUUGCUAAUAUCGACAGCUGAUGACGGUACCUGAAGAAUAAGCACCGGCUAACUACGUGCCAGCAGCCGCGGUAAUACGUAGGGUGCGAGCGUUAAUCGGAAUUACUGGGCGUAAAGCGAGCGCAGACGGUUACUUAAGCAGGAUGUGAAAUCCCCGGGCUCAACCUGGGAACUGCGUUCUGAACUGGGUGACUAGAGUGUGUCAGAGGGAGGUAGAAUUCCACGUGUAGCAGUGAAAUGCGUAGAGAUGUGGAGGAAUACCGAUGGCGAAGGCAGCCUCCUGGGAUAACACUGACGUUCAUGCUCGAAAGCGUGGGUAGCAAACAGGAUUAGAUACCCUGGUAGUCCACGCCCUAAACGAUGUCAAUUAGCUGUUGGGCAACUUGAUUGCUUAGUAGCGUAGCUAACGCGUGAAAUUGACCGCCUGGGGAGUACGGUCGCAAGAUUAAAACUCAAAGGAAUUGACGGGGACCCGCACAAGCGGUGGAUGAUGUGGAUUAAUUCGAUGCAACGCGAAGAACCUUACCUGGUCUUGACAUGUACGGAAUCCUCCAGAGAGGGAGGAGUGCCUUCGGGAGCCGUAACACAGGUGCUGCAUGGCUGUCGUCAGCUCGUGUCGUGAGAUGUUGGGUUAAGUCCCGCAACGAGCGCAACCCUUGUCAUUAGUUGCCAUCAUUAAGUUGGGCACUCUAAUGAGACUGCCGGUGACAAGCCGGAGGAAGGUGGGGAUGACGUCAAGUCCUCAUGGCCCUUAUGACCAGGGCUUCACACGUCAUACAAUGGUCGGUACAGAGGGUAGCCAAGCCGCGAGGUGGAGCCAAUCUCACAAAACCGAUCGUAGUCCGGAUUGCACUCUGCAACUCGAGUGCAUGAAGUCGGAAUCGCUAGUAAUCGCAGGUCAGCAUACUGCGGUGAAUACGUUCCCGGGUCUUGUACACACCGCCCGUCACACCAUGGGAGUGGGGGAUACCAGAAGUAGGUAGGGUAACCGCAAGGAGCCCGCUUACCACGGUAUGCUUCAUGACUGGGGUGAAGUCGUAACAAGGUAGCCGUAGGGGAACCUGCGGCUG